UACGUAGGGGGCAAGCGUUGUCCGGAAUCAUUGGGCGUAAAGCGCGUGUAGGCGGCUCGAAAAGUCUGGUGUGAAAACUUUCGGCUCAACCGGAAGCUGUCACUGGAUACUGUCGGGCUUGAGUCCGGAAGAGGAGUGUGGAAUUCCUGGUGUAGCGGUGGAAUGCGCAGAUAUCAGGAGGAACACCAAUGGCGAAGGCAGCACUCUGGUACGUGACUGACGCUGAGACGCGAAAGCGUGGGGAGCAAACAGG
rnacentral:rRNA from 1 species